rnacentral:rRNA from 1 species
GACGAACGCUGGCGGCGUGCCUAACACAUGCAAGUCGAACGGGGCUGAUUCCUUCGGGGAUCAGCUUAGUGGCGAACGGGUGAGUAACGCGUGAGAAACCUGCCUUUCAGUGGGGGACAACAGUUGGAAACGACUGCUAAUACCGCAUGAUGCAGCGAGGGGGCAUCCCCUUACUGCCAAAGCUUUAUGUGCUGAAAGAUGGUCUCGCGUCUGAUUAGCUAGUUGGUGGGGUAACGGCCCACCAAGGCGACGAUCAGUAGCCGGUCUGAGAGGAUGAACGGCCACAUUGGGACUGAGAUACGGCCCAGACUCCUACGGGAGGCAGCAGUGGGGAAUAUUGGGCAAUGGGGGAAACCCUGACCCAGCAACGCCGCGUGAAGGAAGAAGGCCUUCGGGUUGUAAACUUCUUUUAGCAGGGACGAAGGACGUGACGGUACCUGCAGAAAAAGCAACGGCUAACUACGUGCCAGCCGCCGCCGUAACAC